UAGCCAUGAUGUGGACAGGAAUUCGUGAGAUCCUUGAACCUUUCCUAGCAUUAAAAGAAGGUCUCUUCGUCUUUCUGGGUGAAGUUCAUGAUUGCCUUCCUUAAAGUGU